rnacentral:rRNA from 1 species
AAACAGUAGCAAUACUGUUUCAGUGGCAGACGGGUGAGUAACGCGUAGGAAUCUACCCCUGGGUGGAGCAUAGCCGGCCGAAAGGUCGGGUAAUUCUCCAUAGUCUCGUAAGAGUAAAGGACUUAACGGUCCGCCGAGGGAGGAGCCUGCGUCCUAUCAGCUAGUUGGCGGGGUAAAUGCCCACCAAGGCGAUGACGGGUAGCUGGACUGAGAGGUCGAUCAGCCACAACUGCACUGAGACACGGGCAGUGCAUCUACGGAUGGCAGCAACCAGGAAUAUUGCGCAAUGGACGAAAGUCUGACGCAGCGACGCCGCGUGGAGGAUGAAGGCCUUAGGGUCGUAAACUCCUUUUACUAAGCCGUUCACAGCUUAGAGAAUAAGCCCCUACUAACUACGUGCCAGAAGUCUCGGUAAUACGUAGGGGGCAAGCGUUAUCCGGAUUUAUUGGGCGUAAAGUGUGCGUAGGCGUUCCAUAAAGUCUUCACUUAAAGACCAGGGCUUACCCCUGGAAGUGGUGAGGAUACUCAUGGAAUUGAGGAUUGAUAAGGAAGCUGGAACAGUUAGUGUAGUAGUGAAAUGCGUUGAUAUUAACUGGAACACCAAGGGCGAAGGCAGGCUUCUGUAUUUUUCCUGACGCUGAGGCACGAAAGCUAGGGUAGCGAAACAGAUUAGAUACCUGUGUAGUCCUAGCCGUAAACGAUGUCCGCUAACUCUCACUCGCCAAGAACAUAAGCAUAGUUUUGUGUUUUUUGCGAGUGGGGGUAUAAGCUAACGCGUUAAGCGGACCGCCUGGGGAGUACGGCCGCAAGGCUAAAACUC